rnacentral:rRNA from 1 species
UGCUUACCAUGCAGUCGAACGAUGAUGCCCAGCUUGCUGGGUGGAUUAGUGGCGAACGGGUGAGUAACACGUGAGUAACCUGCCCCUGACUCUGGGAUAAGCGUUGGAAACGACGUCUAAUACUGGAUAUGACUACCGGCCGCAUGGGCUGGUGGUGGAAAGAUUUUUUGGUUGGGGAUGGACUCGCGGCCUAUCAGCUUGUUGGUGAGGUAAUGGCUCACCAAGGCGACGACGGGUAGCCGGCCUGAGAGGGUGACCGGCCACACUGGGACUGAGACACGGCCAGACUCCUACGGGAGGCAGCAGUGGGGAAUAUUGCACAAUGGGCGAAAGCCUGAUGCAGCAACGCCGCGUGAGGGAUGACGGCCUUCAGGUUGUAAACCUCUUUUAGUAGGGAAGAAGCGGAAGUGACGGUACCUGCAGAAAAAGCACCGGCUAACUACGUGCCAAC